rnacentral:rRNA from 1 species
GUGCACCAGUCGCGAAAACUUCGCAAUACACGAAAGUGUGACGAGGCCAUCCCGAGUGCCAUCCGCUGAGGAUGGCUUUUCCCCAGUGUAGAUAGCUGGGGGAAUAAGGAGAGGGCAAGUCUGGUGUCAGCCGCCGCGGUAAUACCAGCUCUUCGAGUGGUGGGGAUGUUUAUUGGGCCUGAAGCAUCCGUAGCUGGCUGAGCAAGUUCUCCGUUAAAUCCAGCGAUUUAAUCGUUGGACUGCGGGGGAUACUGUUCGGCUAGGGGGCGGGAGAGGCCGACGGUAUUCUCGGGGUAGGGGUGAAAUCCUAUAAUCCCGGGAAGACCACCAGUGGCGAAGGCUGUCGGCUAGAACGCGCCCGACGGUGAGGGAUGAAAGCUGGGGGAGCGAACCGGAUUAGAUACCCGGGUAGUCC